rnacentral:rRNA from 1 species
UACGUAGUGGGCUAGCGUUGCUCGGAAUCACUGGGCGUAAAGCGCACGUAGGCGGCUUCUUAAGUCAGGGGUGAAAUCCUGGAGCUCAACUCCAGAACUGCCUUUGAUACUGAGGAGCUUGAGUCCGGGAGAGGUGAGUGGAACUGCGAGUGUAGAGGUGAAAUUCGUAGAUAUUCGCAAGAACACCAGUGGCGAAGGCGGCUCACUGGCCCGGUACUGACGCUGAGGUGCGAAAGCGUGGGGAGCAAACAGG